rnacentral:lncRNA from 1 species
GGGAAGUCUAGGAGCAAAGUCUCUUAGGCAGACUGAGAAGGCUACAGCUUCACACACUGUGCUGCCUGCCAGCUUUCCCCAGAGCCUAGGCCUCCCUCAGCAGGGCAUCUCAUCCCACCAUGUGGCUGCCUCUGCUUCUGGGUGCCUUGCUGUGGGCAGUACUGUGGUUGCUCAGAGACCGGCAGAGCCUGCCGGCCCGAGACGCUGUCAUCUUCAUCACCGGCUGUGACUCGGGCUUUGGGCGCCUUCUGGCACUGCAACUUGACCAGAAGGGCUUCCAAGUGCUGGCCGGCUGCCUGACCCCCUCUGGGGCAGAAGACCUACAACAGAUGGCCUCCUCCCGCCUCCACACAACACUGCUGGAUAUCACUGAUCCCCAGAAUGUCCAGCAAGUUGCCAAGUGGGUGAAGACACGUGUUGGAGAA